rnacentral:lncRNA from 1 species
AGAGAAUUCCAUGGAGACUCUGAUGGCUAGGGCACCGUUGAGCUGUUGCAACUGUUCUGCUGGAGCCUUAUGUAUGUGGUUGAAACCACCUGUACUACUGGAAUGAAAGCACCUUUACAGAAGAGGCAAUGCAAGUUGUAUUCAUCACAUGUGUAGAAUGAAUUAAGAUUUAUGCCAGUUGCAAAGAAGAAUAUUGGCUCACUAUUUUUCCUCUGGGCAUGUGGAAAUGUAAAUCAGUCCAUGUUACUCACCUCGGAGAAGCAGAAGUACGAUUUACUAUUGUUGCUUGCUUACUUACUCUUAUCAAUUUCUAUGAGAGAGUUGUACUGCGACAUUAGCUCUUUUGACUAGAUGUGAUGACAGACUGUCUUUGGUCCAUUCUCUUUUAUUGCCUUGGAAGAGAAUAAAUGAGGAGUAGUUCUCACCCAUUGCAGCUGAGGCAUCACACCUGUAAUGGGAUUAACAAGAUGAUAAUAUAUCUUUUGCCAAGACCACAUACUAGCAGGGGUACAAGCAAUUUUCCAGUCUUGACCCUUUAUCUGUUGACCAAGCUAAGGCAGAAACCAGCUAAAUUCUGGAUUUAAUCUUGAGCAGCAAAAAAGAUCAGCUUUUGAAGUGGAUCUGCUUUUAUUCUUGGCAAAAGUUCAGCGGAGACCAACCAGAGUGGUGACAAAGUUCUUCAACAUCAAGCCAAAUAAAGAGACCUCAAGUAAACCUCCAGCAGCCAUCUGGACUUCCAUGAAAACAGAACAAUCAGUGAGAUGCAGAGCUUGGAGGAGACAGUUUCCAUAGACUGAAGCACGUGCUGAAGCAAAGUUCACACUUGCAGGAUUAGAAGAGGUUGACCGAAAGAAGGAAGGACAUGGACAGCUAUGUUGUUGUGGAGUCCUGUUUUAUAGUCAUAACCUUGAGUCAAGUGAGUUUGUCUGGACAGACAGAGCUUGUUGCCUUUACUUAUAGGGAAGGCACCGGACACAGACAGCCUCAAGGACAUUUGUUCUAGCCUUUCAGUAUCCUUUCUCUUAAUUAUCUCACCUCAUCCAUGAAGCUGGUAUGUACGAUUUUUCCUUUCUUUCUCAAUCCUUUAAAAAAUUAAAGCUCUAAAUCUCAUUUCCACUUAGAUUUUAAUGUUGCAUUGUAACUUAAGAUAAAACCUUGCUCUGAUGUUAAAAAUACUAAAGUAAGAAGCAAUAUGGCAUAGUGCUUAUGAGCAGGACUACAUAGUUCUUUCUGAAUACAAAUCUCAGAUAAAACACUAUCUCAGUGAUCAACCAGGUUAAGCAACCUUUUUAGUGCCUCAAUUAUUCCAUUUGUAAAAUUGUAAUAAUGAUAGUACUAACCUAUAAGAUUGUGGUGAGGAUUAAGUCAGAUAAUACAAAAGAAGCAUUUAGAGUAUUUCCUGGCAUUAUCUACCAUUUAUUGAAUUUUUAUGGUUAAGAAGAAUAAGGAAAAGCAGAAGAAAAGGAAAAGAGAAAAAAUACAUAAGAAGAAGGAAGAGUGGUAAGCUCUAGUAAAUUACAACAAACGGUAACGUAGAAAACAUUUGUUAGCCCUUAAUAUAGGCCAGGCACUGUGUUCAAUGCUUAAACCUCAUUACUGUUCUUUGAAGUGGAUAACAUUAUUCCUUCCAUUUUAAAGAAAGGAAUACUAAAGACAACUUUGUCAAUAUUAUUCAUGUAAUAAAUGACAGAAUUUGACCAAGACAAUAGAGAAUGAACUCUUAAUCACUAUAUUGUUUUAUUUUUUGAAAAUAGAUUUUAAGUUCUUAUUAAAUGUUAAUGACUCACAUCAAAAUAAAGCCAAUCAAAAUUGACAGCAA